AAUGAACGCUGGCGGCGUGCCUAAUACAUGCAAGUCGAGCGCCCAACUCAUUUCACUUCUUACCAAUCUUGGUAGGACAACAAAGCGACUAUUUGGAGCUUUGUUAUCACUAACAAGAAUGGACGACUGGCCACGGUAAUAUAAACAUUACAUUGUGGUCGGGGAGUCAAUUGCUUCAGCAAUUGAGCUACCAAGGAGCGAAGCGAGUUGGGAGCGGCGGACGGGUGAGUAACGCGUGAGAAUAUACCCCAGACUGAGGGAUAAGCACCAGAAAUGGUGUCUAAUACCGCAUAACCUCUAAGGAGAAAAGCUUCGGCGGUUUGGGAAUAGCUUGCGUAGGAUUAGCUAGUUGGUGAGGUAAAGGCUCACCAAGGCAAUGAUCUUUAGCUGGUUUGAGAGGAUGAUCAGCCACACUGGAACUGAGACACGGUCCAG
rnacentral:rRNA from 1 species